rnacentral:rRNA from 1 species
UACGUAGGGGGCAAGCGUUGUCCGGAUUUAUUGGGCGUAAAGAGCGUGUAGGCGGCCUAUACAGGUCAGCUGUGAAAACUCGGAGGCUCAACCUCGAGACGUCGGGUUGAAACCGUAUGGCUAGAGUCCGGAAGAGGAGAGUGGAAAUUCCCGGUGUAGCGGUGAAAUGCGCAGAUAUCGGGAGGAACACCGGUGGCGAAAGCGCUACUGC